rnacentral:tRNA from 1 species
AUGUGGCUCAGCUGUUAAAGCAUCUGCCUGCAAUGCAGAAGACCUGGGUUUGAUCCCUGGCUU